GACGAACGCUGGCGGCGUGCCUAACACAUGCAAGUCAACUUGAGGGAAGGAGCAAUCUGACCUGAUGGUGGCGCAAGGGUGCGUAACGCGUAAGUAACUUGCCCAAGGUAAGGAAUAACGUCGAGAAAUCGGCGCUAAUACCUCAUAAUGCAGCGGAUCCGCAUGGAUAUGUUGUUAAAGGUUUACCGCCUUGGGAUAGGCUUGCGUCUGAUUAGCUAGUUGGUGUGGUAAUGGCACACCAAGGGCUACGAUCAGUAACUGGUCUGAGAGGAUGAUCAGUCACACUGGAA
rnacentral:rRNA from 1 species